GAUGAACGCUGGCGGCGUGCCUAAUACAUGCAAGUCGAGCGAACGGACGAGAAGCUUGCUUCUCUGAUGUUAGCGGCGGACGGGUGAGUAACACGUGGAUAACCUACCUAUAAGACUGGGAUAACUUCGGGAAACCGGAGCUAAUACCGGAUGAUAUUUUGAACCGCAUGGUUCAAAAGUGAAAGACGGUCUUGCUGUCACUUAUAGAUGGAUCCGCGCUGCAUUAGCUAGUUGGUAAGGUAACGGCUUACCAAGGCAACGAUGCAUAGCCGACCUGAGAGGGUGAUCGGCCACACUGGAACUGAGACCCGGUCCAGACUCCUACGGGAGGCAGCAGUAGGGAAUCUUCCGCAAUGGGCGAAAGCCUGACGGAGCAACGCCGCGUGAGUGAUGAAAGUCUUCGGAUCGUAAAACUCUGUUAUUAGGGAAGAACAUAUGUGUAAGUAACUGUGCACAUCUUGACGGUACCUAAUCAGAAAGCCACGGCUAACUACGUG
rnacentral:rRNA from 1 species